GCCCUGUUCGUCUAGUGGUUAGGACACAUGGUUUUCAUCCAUGCAACAGGAGUUCGAUUCUCCUACAGGGUACCA
rnacentral:tRNA from 1 species